rnacentral:snoRNA from 1 species
GGGCACAAUAAAGGACAGAAAUAUCUUUUCCCCAUGGGGGCCCAGGGUGCAAUGGCUGCAAACAGCAGCCUCCUUGGUAGUGUAUGCAACCUGUUGCCUGUACAGGUAGCCCUAAGGGACCUUGGAGACAACU